rnacentral:lncRNA from 1 species
CAGUAUUGCAAAAGGAGAUUUGGAUUUAUCAUACAUCACUUCAAGAAUAGCUGGUAAAUUGUUAAUAUAUGCAUUUAUUAAAAACCCUUUUAUAUUAUGAUGCUGGUCUUUUUUUUUUUUUUUUUAACAUUAUUUAUGGUUGUGCAAAUACAAACUUUCUUGCGAUGCCUCACCAGCAUAGGCAAGGUAUUGGGGGGAAAAAAACAUAGUAGGGCAUAGGUGAGUACUGCACAUUUUUAGACAAAAUCUAAAAUGUUUUGUAUCCAUGCUUACUAACAUGAUAUGUAACCACUGCGCCAGCAUGAAGACGUUGUAACACCAAGCAGCAUUAUGUAUACACCACUUUUAUAUUAGUAUACUAUCAGGACAUGUCUCUGAUGUAGAUAGUCAGCCGAUGCCUGUGAUUUGGAAGGCCUGCAAGUGCACGGUCACAAGUAUCAUGGCAGGUCUCUCCCAAAGUGUUCCUAGUUUCCAGCCCCUCUGCUCCAAACCUUGACAGGAACUGCAGCGCGAUGGCUACAGACCUCGGUGUUUGGGGCAGCGUCCCGGACGUGAGGUGGAGUGUCCCACGUGUAUGGUCAGCGCUCAGGGUAUGGCCCCUUUAGGGUUCCUAGCCCAGAAAGACACGUAGAGGCCGGUGUCAUCAGAAAGCUUGUCAGCCGAGGCAAGUUGCAGAGCUCUUGCCUUGAUACAGGACCUGGGAGGGGAGAGGGGAUACAGGGCCUGCCAGCCAUCUGUGCAAUGGGGCCCCAUUAAGGAGGUCGGCCGCGCCUCCCAGUAAGGUCCCGCUAGGCCGCAGCUGCAAGGUUUAACUCUCCGGCAGUACGUGUCUCAGAAAGGCACCAACAGUACAGAGAUUGCUGCUGCUGGAUGUAAGUGAUAGGUGUGGAAUGCAUAAUUUCAAGCUUAAUGUGCAGUUGUGAGGAGCUCGGCAGCCACGCGUCUGCCCAGUAUGGCGGUCAAGCCCCACCCCCAAUGUUGGCCUCUUUUUAUCUCGAAUAAUUUCAGUUUGUUUGGAUAAGACAAAGAUGAUUUGUUUGUUGCUUAAAAGCGGUACUGUCAUGCCAAACUUACCUUUCUGUUCUUCUUUUCUUCCUUUCUUAUCUAGUUUUCUUUAAAACAUUUAAGACAAAGUAGACCCCCCCCCAAUGGGGAUGGGUGAGGACUAAUUGUAAAAAUAAAGUACUCAUAAAAUAUGAAAAUAUGAACUAAUAAAAUAUUAGGGAAGGCCAAAAAAUAUAUAAAGCCUUCCCACGCCAUGUUAUUUGACUCAGAGUGCUCGGAUUUGUUGGCUUACCAAUCAGAGUGCUCUGACAGGUAAAUCUUAAGUCUUACCCCACUACCUUUUGUCACUGAAAGGGCCACCACCACUCGGGGUGCAUGACUGGGGGCUCGGGGUGACACUAUCCCCUCUGUUAAUUAUUUAAAUGUGGUUUGUUUUUUUGUUUUUUUAUAACAGCAGUUUUUACUGUUGAAAAAAAAAAAGGAAUAGCUGAAAUGCCUGAAUGCCCAAAUUAAACUGGGCAUGCUUGGGAAUUUCACCGCACUAUCUAGUGUGGGCAGAUGACGUAUCCCCCAGGGCCUUAAUCUGCCUACACUAAGAUAGUGGCUACUAGGAUCUAUGUGCUGUCAUGAAAUCAAAAGGUUAAAAAAGGGUGAAAUGAGGGACCUAUAGGUAUUUAGGGGCGACUAUGGGACAAUGAAAAGUAGGAUGUGUCCAUAUUUUCUAAAAUUUGCAAUGCAGAAGCAUGAGGGGACCGCAAGUAAACAAAUGUAUGCAUGUUUGGUUUUGUUUUUAUUUAUUUAUUUUUGUUAUUCCAUGAGCAAUAGUGCACAUAAGGAAGUAAAAACAAUCCACUUUAUUUACCCAGAUGUAUAAUCAUUUUUUUUUUUUUUUUUUGCUUUCAAGUGAUGUCCUUUCCAGCUGAAGGUGUGGAAUCUGCUCUUAAAAACAACAUUGAAGAUGUUCGCCUUUUUUUAGACUCUAAGCAUCCGGGAAGUUAUGCUGUCUAUAAUUUAUGUUUAAAGAAAUACCACCAUGCACGUUUCCACAGCCGGGUG